CAGCAGCCGCGGGAAUACGAGGGGGGCAAGCGUUGUUCGGAAUUAUUGGGCGUAAAGGGUGCGUAGGCGGGUUUUUAAGUCAGAGGUGAAAUCCCAAGGCUCAACCUUGAAACUGCCUUCAAUACUGGCGAUCUUGAGUAUGAGAGAGGUGUGUGGAACUCCGAGUGUAGAGGCGAAAUUCGUAGAUAUUCGGAAGAACACCAGUGGCGAAGGCGACACACUGGCUCAUUACUGACGCUGAGGCUCGAAAGCGUGGGGAGCAAACAGGAUUAGAUACCCCCGUAGUCCCUGUCUCUUAUAC
rnacentral:rRNA from 1 species